GAAAUGCGAUAAGUAGUGUGAAUUGCAGAAUUCAGUGAAUCAUCGAAUCUUUGAACGCACAUUGCGCCCUUUGGUAUUCCAAAGGGCAUGCCUGUUCGAGCGUCAUUUGUACCCUCAAGCUUUGCUUGGUGUUGGGCGUCUUGUCUCUAGCUUUGCUGGAGACUCGCCUUAAAGUAAUUGGCAGCCGGCCUACUGGUUUCGGAGCGCAGCACAAGUCGCACUCUCUAUCAGCAAAGGUCUAGCAUCCAUUAAGCCUUUUUUCAACUUUUGACCUCGGAUCAGGUAGGGAUACCCACUGAACUUAAGC
rnacentral:misc_RNA from 1 species